rnacentral:lncRNA from 1 species
UCUGAUCAAGAAACUUAAAGACCUCUCUGGUAUGGGAAGCUGAAGGCAACUGGCAACACCACACUCAGUGACAGGCAAGAUUCAGCUGUCUUCAGUUACAAAAACCAAAAAAAGAAGAUUCAGCUGACUUUUUUCCUCCACAGGCCUAAGAUAGAAUUCAUGUAUCAGGACAAAUAUCAGGUCUGACUAGAAAAAGAAAAAAAAAAGGUUAAGAGAGUAUUCAAGAGGAUAAAAGCAAAAAUCAUAAAACUAUAUAUAAAAGUUAGAAUCACAUAAUUGUCCCAAGUAAAACUGCUGGAAAUAAAUUGGACAAAAACGACUUGAAAAUACUUUAAUCUCAUUAAUUUGUAGGCCUGUCAAACAGUAUAGUACAGUAUGUAUUCAAGGUUUCCCACAUAUGAAGAAGGAAAAAAUGGGAUUGACAUCUAUCUUAAGGUAUACCCUUCUCUUGGAUCUUGUAGAAAGAUACAUUUUAAUAUCCUAUCUAACAUAGGAACACCAAAACCAUGUAUUUGAUACAUGAUCCAUAACAGCUUUGAUAAAGGAAACUAACCUGCAAGCUAGAUACUCAUGAUGGCUGCCUUUCUGCUUCAACACCGCAGAUCAGGAGAAGCAACGGCAACUGCCGCAUCCGUACGAUAAACCUUGUGCAGGAGACUUGCAGUUUCUGAAGCACAUUUUUCAAUAGCGGAUCAAAACAGCUCGGAGAAGAGCACAAACUUCCGGUAAGAGAUAGGUUGGAAACUC